GAUGAACGCUGGCGGCGUGCUUAACACAUGCAAGUCGAACGAAGCACUUUAUUUGAUUUCCUUCGGGACUGAUUAUUUUGUGACUGAGUGGCGGACGGGUGAGUAACGCGUGGGUAACCUGCCUUGUACAGGGGGAUAACAGUUGGAAACGGCUGCUAAUACCGCAUAAGCGCACGGCAUCGCAUGAUGCAGUGUGAAAAACUCCGGUGGUAUAAGAUGGACCCGCGUUGGAUUAGCUAGUUGGUGAGGUAACGGCCCACCAAGGCGACGAUCCAUAGCCGACCUGAGAGGGUGACCGGCCACAUUGGGACUGAGACACGGCCCAAACUCCUACGGGAAGCAGCAGUGGGGAAUAUUGCACAAUGGGCGAAAGCCUGAUGCAGCGACGCCGCGUGAGCGAAGAAGUAUUUCGGUAUGUAAAGCUCUAUCAGCAGGGAAGAUAAUGACGGUACCUGACGAAGAAGCACCGGCUAAAUACGUG
rnacentral:rRNA from 1 species